rnacentral:lncRNA from 1 species
GCACUCAACCUCCCUUCUCUCCCUCUCUCCUCAAAAUCGUGCCUCAUCUCUCUCUCUCUCUCUCUACCUUCAAAUCUUCAAGACUUGUUCUUCAUUCAAAGCUUUGAAGGUGAUCCAUGGAGGUUGCAAGUUGAAGGGCAUUCAAAGGAGCUUUGUUCUAGUCUUGUUCAUCAUCUUUCUCACCAUCAUCUUCACUAGAAUUUCUACCCUAGCCUUGUGCUAGUACUGAAAUGAAGUUGUCGUGUAGCGGACAGGGUUUGAGAUUCGAUUCAAGACGCACUACUGUGAGUACAUAGACCCCUCUUUUACUGUUUUCCAAAUGUUUUGGGGGUGAAACACAUGUGCCUACUUGUUAUUUUCAUGCUUUACUGUUUUUCAUGUCAUAUACUUUCUAUGUUCAUUAGUACACUUAUAGUACAUGAUUUACAUUACAUUGUUUUGCUAUGUAUGUUUACUUGACAUACUUAGUACAUUGUUUACCUUACAUUUCUGCUAUGUAUGUUGACUGAGCAUGCUAGCACAUUGAUUUACAUGACUUUUCUGCUUUGUAUGUUGACUUAGCAUACUUAGUACAUUGUUUUCAUAUAACAUGCUUACAUUUGGUAUAACAUUUGGUUUGUACAAACGGGACUUAAAUACGUUCAUUAACAUUAGCUACGCCGCUCGGUAGUAAGUAAUGGUACCAUAGGACUUGACAAAUCCCGUUCCUGACAUCCUAGGUUUGUUUGGGUGUAAGGAAUGACCGAAUCCAAAAACAUUUCUUUUGAUAACCUUGACUUAGGGUUAUCCGUCUGUCUCAAGGCUUGAAUGUAUGCGUUUAACUUACCACAUAAAUGUUAUUAUCAAUAAAACAUGCUUUUACUUUGCAAAACAUAACUUUUGAUAUAUUCAAAGUACCUUGUCUUGUACAUCUUUACAUUUGGUUUAUGUGACUACACUUUGCUUACCAUACAUAACAUUUGUUGACUACUUUUGGACUUGUACAUUUUACACAACAACAUAUUUUUUCAAGACUUUGGUUUACAAAGUAGUCUGUUUUAUACAAACUCAUACUACUUGGUUAUUCAUUUAACCAUAUAUUAUUCUUUCAUUUAUACACACCUUCUGAUCUUAUCGCUUUUCAAAUAAUUUACGAAACAAAACAAUUUACAAGGUUCAUGACAAAAUUUUAUUAAACAUUUUCUUAAAACUUAAGUCAUGAAUCCUAUUCUCAUAAAACCUAUGUAUCUCACAGGCAUUUUUUAUGCUGACGUACCUAUUUUCACAUGUGUUUCAGGAGCUGUUGCUUAGGAUGUUCGUGACACACUAGGGCGGACCUAUGCCUUAGAGACUAAAAUAAAGAUGGAACUAGUUUAAUUAUGUGAUGAACACUUUGUUUCAGUUAAUUUAAGACUAUGUAACCUUUGCUUGAUGAAUAAAACAAAACUUUUAAUUACCAUGGUUGUGAAACAAUAAUUCUGUUACAACACUCCCCGACGUUUCCGCCACGAUUUGUUGUUUUACGUGGUCGGGGUGUGACAGAAGAGUUGGUAUCAGAGCCAGGUUAUAGGGAAUUAGGUUAUUAGUAAUGCUUUGACCUAGACUAUAACCUUUCUAGGACCCCAACACAAGUUGUCUUGUGUUUAGAUUUUAAAACAUGCACUUCACCUAUCCUUAGGUGAUA